GCCUUCGUGGUGUAAUGGUCAGUACACUUGGAGCGUAUUUGAGAGGUCCGAGGUUCGAGUCCUGGCGAAGGCG
rnacentral:tRNA from 1 species